rnacentral:rRNA from 1 species
GACGAACGCUGGCGGCGUGCCUAAUACAUGCAAGUCGAGCGGAUUGAUUCGGAGCUUGCUCCGAUGAUGUCAGCGGCGGACGGGUGAGUAACACGUGGGUAACCUGCCUGGCAGACUGGGAUAACGCUUGGAAACGAGUGCUAAUACCGGAUCAUCUCUUGGAUCGCAUGGUCCGAGAGUAAAAGGAGCUUUUGCUUCACUGCUAGAUGGACCCGCGGCGCAUUAGCUAGUUGGUGAGGUAAUGGCUCACCAAGGCGACGAUGCGUAGCCGACCUGAGAGGGUGACCGGCCACACUGGGACUGAGACACGGCCCAGACUCCUACGGGAGGCAGCAGUAGGGAAUCUUCCGCAAUGGGCUCAAGCCUGACGGAGCAACGCCGCGUGAGUGAGGAAGGCCUUCGGGUUGUAAAACUCUGUCUUCUGUGAAGAACCAUCCUGUGCAGGGAAAGCUCAGGACCUGACGGUAACAGAGGAGGAAGCCCCGGCUAACUACGUGCCAGCAGCCGCAGUAACAC